rnacentral:tRNA from 1 species
UUGGAAUAUAGCCAAGUAGGUUUAAGGCAUCGGUUUUUGGUAUCGAUAUCCCUGGUUCAAUUCCAAGUAUUCCAGU